rnacentral:rRNA from 1 species
UCAUUACCUUUGGCCGCCGUGAACGCUCCGGUGUGAGCGACGGCCAUUCUACAGCGAUGUCUCGUGUCCGGGAAACCGGCUCGGGGCUGACCUAACCCUUCUUUACGUGUACCUUUUAUUCUCCUUCGGCGGGCUCACACCCGCCGCUGGAACUUCAAAACCCAUUUGCAUUUAGCAUUAACUGUUCUGAUAACAUAUAAUUGUUACAACUUUCAACAAUGGAUCUCUUGGCUCUGGCAUCGAUGAAGAACGCAGCGAAAUGCGAUAAGUAGUGUGAAUUGCAGAAUUCAGUGAAUCAUCGAAUCUUUGAACGCACAUUGCGCCCCUUGGUAUUCCAUGGGGCAUGCCUGUUCGAGCGUCAUUUACACCCUCAAGCACUGCUUGGUGUUGGGCGUCUGUCCCGCCUUCGCGCGUGGACUCGCCCCAAAGACAUUGGCAGCGGUCUCUGGCACCUCAACGCGCAGUACAUUGCGUUUAUUGGGGCGUCUCUGGUCGCAUCCACAAAGCUAUCACCGUCUUUGACCUCGGAUCANGUAGGGAUACCCGCUGAACUUAAGCAUAUCAAUAAGCGGAGGA